GAUGAACGCUGGCGGCGUGCCUAAUACAUGCAAGUCGAGCGAACAGAUAAGGAGCUUGCUCCUUUGACGUUAGCGGCGGACGGGUGAGUAACACGUGGGUAACCUACCUAUAAGACUGGGAUAACUUCGGGAAACCGGAGCUAAUACCGGAUAACAUUUGGAACCGCAUGGUUCUAAAGUGAAAGAUGGUUUUGCUAUCACUUAAAGAUGGACCCGCGCCGUAUUAGCUAGUUGGUAAGGUAACGGCUUACCAAGGCGACGAUACGUAGCCGACCUGAGAGGGUGAUCGGCCACACUGGAACUGAGACACGGUCCAGACUCCUACGGGAGGCAGCAGUAGGGAAUCUUCCGCAAUGGGCGAAAGCCUGACGGAGCAACGCCGCGUGAGUGAUGAAGGGUUUCGGCUCGUAAAACUCUGUUAUUAGGGAAGAACAAAUGUGUAAGUAACUGUGCACGUCCUGACGGUACCUAAUCAGAAAGCCACGGCUAACUACGUG
rnacentral:rRNA from 1 species